AGUUACUUUUCAUUGAAUUCAGACUUAACCUACUUGUAUCCAUUUCUACAGUAUUGUAUUUAUUGUCAGAUGUGACUUGACCACAAAACAAGUGGUAGGUGUAAUGACAAUAAUAUUUGGAGAACUAUCCAUGAAAGAUGAUCACAUUCUCUCUUUCAACUAUAUGGACACGUUCUGCUUUUGUAACUAUGCACACAAAAAGUUGAUUGUAAGGGGCCUAUAAAGUGUAAGUAUAUCCCCAUGUCAUUAUACACAAGAGUAGGCCUAUACAUGGACUCUCCAUAUGGGCAGACCAGAGAAAAAGGACAUACAAACUUUCUUCUUGGUUUACUUUGAGUGAGUAGACCAGGUUAUCUCCGGUAAAAGCUAAGAAAACUAUUCUGAGAUCAGUCUGAAGGGACAAUGCUGUCUGCAUCAAUAUUGUUUUCACCUUGAUCUGACAAUACCGUGAAGUAAUAAUUGCAUCCAAUCCAUUAGCACAAGUUUGUCUAUAGCAGUUCGGUGGUGUUGGUGGGUAAUCAACCUUCAUGAAGUGAACUGCAGUUCAGACAAAAUUGGCCAUUUUGUUAUCUAUGACAUCCAAAAAUAUAACGUCCUGAAUAUAUUUAUUUGAUAUUUCCAAAACGGCGGGCCAAAUAAAUUAUAUUGUUUUCACAAAAACUCUAAAUAUGCCAGUUGAGUGCACUUUCAAAACACUCGCGAGUAUGUGUGUUAUAACCGCACUCGGACUGUACUGCAUCCAGGGACGGAGCACCUCUGUCGGUCUACGGUUCAAAUUCAAGCCGGCGCGCCUGAGGCUACGGCCAUUUUCUGCUGAACAAACUAAACCCCGCACAGUCUAUUGGCUUUGAACUUCAACUUGGCCUUCGACGUCCGGUACGGAAUCUGCGUUGCCCCACAAAAAAACUAAUACAUUUCACUACGGGAGAAGUGCCAAAACGCUUUGCAGACUAUCUUAAUCAUUAUGCGCUGGUGUAACAAAUAUACAGUAUGUCUGCAUUUCUAGCCUUUCCAUCGAACGUUCCGCUUGGCUAAAAACCAACAAGAAAAUGAGUAGCCCAACUGCUGAGAAACAAAGGAGCAGAACACCAAAAUACAGCUCUACGCUAUUAUCGUAAUUGGAUUUUACAAAGUGCACACAACUCGUGAUCAUUCUCGCCUUGCGUCUGUUGGAACAUGGACAAAUAAUGAUUAAAUUGAUUUGUUAACGUACCAUUUCAAAGCGAAACUGCCAACCCCCCAGAAAAGUUAUAGUUUAUGCAGCACAACGGUUCAGCGCCUGGUCAUCUCGUUGACGGGUUUCUAUUAUUAUUCCAUAUCCAUUUAUCCGCGAACAGAGGUAAUCCGUGGUCUUCGGAGGGGAGACUACACCGCACAGAGAUCAAUCAGAAACGUCCCACGCGAAGUCUGCAGCUUCAACCCCAGCAGAAUCCUCGCUACAAGGCCACUGGGUUUGGUGGAGUAAGCUGUCUUGGCAUGCCAUCUGACCUUACCACAGGAAGGCUGUGCUGGAGCGAGCGGGAAAGACAUGAUCCCACCGUUCAAUAUGAAUUGAAGGGUUCCUGUAAAAAUCUACAGCUAAAAAGGUGUAUUUCCUAAAGACAGAGGAGUGAGAGCCAGGACUGGCGCUAUGACAUCAACUGACAAUGAAAGUAGUAUUUCAAACCUCAAAACUAUGACAAGGGCCUUGCAUGUCAUCUUUACGUAAGUGAACAGGAUGCAUGCAAAAGCAUACAGAUAUGCUGAACUCAAUGGAAAAGUGAGUGAAGUGUAAUGUUUGACAUGAAUAAAGGUCUCCUGAAGAGGGCAGUACCAGAGUG